rnacentral:rRNA from 1 species
UGCGUAGGCGGGGCAAUUAGUCAGUGGUGAAAUCCUGCGGCUUAACCGUAGAAUUGCCAUUGAUACUGUUGUCCUUGAGUAUAGUUGAAGUGGGCGGAAUAUGUAAUGUAGCGGUGAAAUGCAUAGAUAUUACAUAGAACACCAAUUGCGAAGGCAGCUCACUAAGCUAUCACUGACGCUGAGGCACGAAAGCGUGGGGAGCGAACAGGAUUAGAUACCCUGGUAGUCC